GCCGCCGGAUGGAGGAGGCCCGCGAGACGCUGGCCCGCCUGCUGGGCGCGCGCCCGUCGGAGAUCAUCUUCUGCGCCGGCGGCACC
rnacentral:tRNA from 1 species